rnacentral:rRNA from 1 species
AUUGAACGCUGGCGGCAGGCUUAACACAUGCAAGUCGAGCGAGCGGCGGACGGGUGAGUAAUGUCUGGGAAACUGCCUGAUGGAGGGGGAUAACUACUGGAAACGGUAGCUAAUACCGCAUACCAUCAGAUGUGCCCAGAUGGGAUUAGCUAGUAGGUGGGGUAACGGCUCACCUAGGCGACGAUCCCUAGCUGGUCUGAGAGGAUGACCAGCCACACUGGAACUGAGACAAGGUCCAGACUCCUACGGGAGGCAGCAGGGGGGAAUAUUGAACAAUGGGCGAAAGCCUGAUGCAGCCAUGCCGCGUGUGUGAAGAAGGCCUGCGGGUUGUAAAGCACUUUCAGCGGGGAGGCGUUACACGCAGAAGAAGCACCGGCUAACUCCGUGCCAGCAGCCGCGGUAAUAC